rnacentral:rRNA from 1 species
UACGGAGGGUGCAAGCGUUAUCCGGAUUUACUGGGCGUAAAGCGUGUGCAGGCGGCUUAUCAAGUGGUGUAUGAAAUAUCCAGCUCAACCUGGAGGGGUUAUGCCAGACUGGUAGGCUAGAGUGCGAGAGAGGGGCGUGGAAUUCCGGGUGUAGUGGUGAAAUGCGUAGAGAUCCGGAGGAACCCCAGAGGCGAAGGCGGCGCCCUGGCUCGACACUGACGCUCAGACACGACAGCAUGGGGAGCGAACGGG